rnacentral:rRNA from 1 species
GACGAACGCUGGCGGCGUGCUUAACACAUGCCAGUCGAACGGAAAGGCCCUGCUUGCAGGGUACUCGAGUGGCGAACGGGUGAGUAACACGUGGGUGAUCUGCCCUGCACUUCGGGAUAAGCCUGGGAAACUGGGUCUAAUACCGGAUAGGAGCCAUUUUUAGUGUGAUGGUUGGAAAGUUUUUUCGGUGUAGGAUGAGCUCGCGGCCUAUCAGCUUGUUGGUGGGGGAAUGGCCUACCAAGGCGGCGACGGGUAGCCGGCCUGAGAGGGUGGACGGCCACAUUGGGACUGAGAGACGGCCCAGACUCCUACGGGAGGCAGCAGGGGGGAAUAUUGCACAAUGGGCGCAAGCCUGAUGCAGCGACGCCGCGGGGGGGAGGACGGCCUUCGGGUUGUAAACUCCUUUCGCUAGGGACGAAGCUUUUUGUGACGGUACCUAGAUAAGAAGCACCGGCUAACUACGUG